CACUGAUUGUACAGCUGGCUCCCAGAAUUCCUGGAAACUUAACCAUCAGCUCCCAAGAGCUGGUACAAGCCAGCUCCAGCACACUCCCAUUGGGACUCUCAGAGACAGAGGGAAUGGAGCUUUGCCCAAAACCUCAUGGCCACAGAACCCUUUUCUUGGGACCUGUAAAAGGAUGAAUACUUUGUAGACACACUUUAGGAGAUUCUGGUUUGAUUAUUCUCUAAAUGGGGAAACUGAGAAGCUCGGGGUCUUGCCCAAGAACUCAGAUCCAAACACAAAUGAAACUCUUCGGAGCCUCAGUCCUGCAGCAAAAAGUUUAAUGUUCCUCCUUCGUUCAAAACUGUCCUAGAUUCACAACUGCCGUUUACUCGCCAUGUGCCAUGUCAGUUUCCCUCAGCAUCGGAACCACAGCACCUCUUAGCUGCACGUGGGUACCACCAGCCCGAUUUCUCCCUGAAAAUCUCUCCAUUCAUCGCUGUUCAACUUAAGGCAGUGAAAAAUUCUGUUAAAAUGCAAAUCGUACCCUGGAGGGGAAGCACAUUAAACUACUACUCUCCAUUUAAACUUUUUUGUGAAUUCGUUUUCUUGAUUGGUUUUUGAUUCAUUGAAGAAGCCCACCCAGAGUG
rnacentral:lncRNA from 1 species